rnacentral:rRNA from 1 species
GACGAACGCUGGCGGCGUGCUUAACACAUGCAAGUCGAACGGAAAGGCCCUGCUUUUGUGGGGUGCUCGAGUGGCGAACGGGUGAGUAACACGUGAGUAACCUGCCCUUGACUUUGGGAUAACUUCAGGAAACUGGGGCUAAUACCGGAUAGGAGCUCUGCUGCAUGGGGGGGGGUGGAAAGUUUCGGCGGUUGGGGAUGGGCUCGCGGCUUAUCAGCUUGUUGGUGGGGUAGUGGCUUACCAAGGCUUUGACGGGUAGCCGGCCUGAGAGGGUGACCGGCCACAUUGGGACUGAGAUACGGCCCAGACUCCUACGGGAGGCAGCAGUGGGGAAUAUUGCACAAUGGGCGGAAGCCUGAUGCAGCAACGCCGCGUGCGGGAUGACGGCCUUCGGGUUGUAAACCGCUUUCGCCUGUGACGAAGCGUGAGUGACGGUAAUGGGUAAAGAAGCACCGGCUAACUACGUG